rnacentral:lncRNA from 1 species
CUCUGGCCAGCACCUCUGCAGAGGAGUGACUUAAGGGAGAUAUUGACCCAAAGUGCCACAAUCAUUUGCACUAGUUCAUUAGGCCCUAGCAGAGCCUAGGGGCUCCCAAAGAAGUGAGAAAUCAGAAAGACAAAUAAAGGUCAAUGUACCAUCCCUUUAUUGCAAUAGGAUUUUUACCCACCUGGGGACCUCUGAUGCCCCGGAGAAUGUUAUGUUAAUGGUCCUAGAGGUUGUGGGGCACCUAGGGAAUAAACAAUUCAGCUCUGACUUAAGAAACCAAAGCUUCUCACCCUAGCACCUGUUACUAGAUUGGAGACUAUUGGGAAGAACACAAAAGAGUGUCCUGGAUGCACCACAGGGGUCCAACAUGGGACUCUAAGGAAGGGGAGAACAUUAAAGUCCAGACAGGGAAUAUAAUACUGGAGGUCACCAUGACACAAGAGGAAAUGUGGUCAUUUCUAAUUCGUUAUGACUGAAGAGUAGCUCUUUUAUGGAGGGGCUGUGGAGCUACAGAAGACUCAACUGUCUUAGGUCACAGGAGGAAAGGAGACACUGCAGCAUCUGAUUGCCUUCCAUCUCUGAACAAGCCUACCUCUGUGAUCAACCCACCCAGAGGACAGGUGAGAAAGAAGCUGGGCCCCUUCCUAUUCCUGCAAACCAGCAGUGAGCUCUGUCUCCUUGCAUGGACUGCCAACAGUGAACAUGGCACAUAGUUUGUCUACUGGG